CACAUCAGAUUUACUACAAUUCUCUGUUGAGUUAACAAUAAUGAUCAUUUAAUAAUUAGUGUUUUAGAUGUCGAUUCAUGGCAAUGUGGAUAUUAUGAUUUACCCUCUUUGUGACUCUGGUUUCAAUUUUCUAAUAUUAUUUAUCAGAACAUGAUGUUUCAGAUUCGAGAAAAUGAUAAGAGGAAGAAUUCAAUGGAAGAGUUUGUGAUGGACAUGUGCUCAUCUAGGUUGAAUGUUGUCUCCUUUCUGCUCUUGUCAUCUCCUUGAUGACCACUCGUCUUCAUAUGCAAGUGGAGCCGUGGCCAGAUGGUUUAUCCAGCAAUGGAGGGAUUGUACCCUACAAAAUUUGUCUCUUGGGGUUCGCCAACGGGAUCCCUGUGUCCAGCCUGAGCCAGAGUUCAGCCACCGAUGUCGGAGGUUGUGCGAU